GGUCCUAGCCUUACUAUCAUCUGUUUCUCAUUUUACACAUGCAAGUCUCAGCACCCCAGUGAGAACGCCCUUUUAACCUACACCAGGAGAAGGAGCUGGCAUCAGGCACAAUCCCUGCCCAUAACACCUAGUCUCACCACACCCCCAAGGGUAAUCAGCAGUGAUAAAUCUUAAAUAUAAGCGACAGCUUGAUUUAGUUAGAGAAAAGAGGGCCGGCUAACCCGGUGCCAGCCGCCGCGGCUACACCGUGGGGCCCGAGCUGAUAGUCACCGGCGUUAAGCGUGAUUAAAGCCCUCAACAAUUAGGGUUAAAUUAAUAUUUAGUAGUGAUAAGCUUGUUAUUAAGAAAACCAUAAACGAAAGUUACCCUAAUUACACUUGAAUCCACGACAACUGGGAAAACAAACUGGGAUUAGAACCCGCCAC
rnacentral:rRNA from 1 species